rnacentral:misc_RNA from 1 species
UUUCCGUAGGUGAACCUGCGGAAGGAUCAUUAUUGUAUAACCGAGGUGCGAGGGCUGUCGCUGACCCGAAAGGUCGUGCACGCCCGAGUGCCCUCACUCACCUCCAUCUCACCCCUAUGUGCACCACCGCGUGGGUCCCCCUUUGGCUUGUUCGGAGGGGGGCUUACGUUUUCACACAAACUUUGUAUGCAGUGUAGAAUGUAUUUUUUGUUUUUGCGAUCACGCAAUCAAUACAACUUUCAACAACGGAUCUCUUGGCUCUC